UAGGGAAUCUUCUGCAAUGGACGAAAGUCUGACCGAGCAACGCCGCGUGAGUGAAGAAGGUUUUCGGAUCGUAAAACUCUGUUGUUAGAGAAGAACAAGGACGUUAGUAACUGAACGUCCCCUGACGGUAUCUAACCAGAAAGCCACGGCUAACUACGUGCCAGCAGCCGCGGUAAUACGUAGGUGGCAAGCGUUGUCCGGAUUUAUUGGGCGUAAAGCGAGCGCAGGCGGUUUCUUAAGUCUGAUGUGAAAGCCCCCGGCUCAACCGGGGAGGGUGAUUGGAAACUGGGAGGCUUGAGUGCAGAAGAGGAGAGUGGAAUUCCAUGUGUAGCGGUGAAAUGCGUAGAUAUGUGGAGGAACACCAGUGGCGAAGGCGGCUCUCUGGUCUGUAACUGACGAUGAGGCUCGAAAGCGUGGGGAGCAAACAGG
rnacentral:rRNA from 1 species